CGUCCCCAGGAACGGCGAGCUGUAGUCUCGGGUAAAGCCGUCGCUGAUGUGGCGAUAGAUGAAAAGCUAUUCUUAGGAAUAAAAGCCUGCCUCCAGACGCAGGCCCUCGCGUUGUUGGUGGAUGCCACGCGCCCUGAAUGCGGAGUGAAGCUCGGGCUCAGUGUCGGCGAGCUCCGGGGGAGAGUGGCCGGGCGCGGAGCAGCAUUUCUCACGCGUUUCAUUAUCGCCCAACCGCUUUCAUCUAGCGAAAGCAACCGAGAGGACAACAAACCUGACUGUGAAUAAUGACAUUUCUGCACAGCCCGGAGAUCGGGGCGGAUACCAACUUGAUCUUGAACUUGUAGACAACAGUUCACCAACGGGGAAUAAAAUUCGUUUUGGUUUUUUUCCCUCGCAUUUUCUUUAUCGAGGCGGCUUGUAUGUUUACAAAGACAUAUAUGUUCAGAUUAUUUGGAGCAGCGCGGGUAUACUUUCAACACUGCAUUAUGACCAGAGCUGUUGCUGUAGCUACAACCCUUCAAAAGUCCCAGACCAGCCCUUGACCCAGUCACCAUCUGCCUGCUGUCAUAGUUACGGGAAAGGACUCUGCGGAGCAGGUUCAGCGGUCUGCGGUUUUAGCAGCUCGGAGGUGGGAGGGGAAAGUUUGUGCUCCGGACUGAAUCUGGCUUCUCCCCUCAGCUCUCUGGAGCUGCAGCCAGAACUGGCAGGAAGCUGUUACAGUAAUCUGCCACAAAUGGACAAAUCCCACAGCUCACCAAGAGGAGAGGACUGUCAGAGAAGGGUGUGUGUGUGUGUUUGUGUGUGAGUGUAAGUGAGUAUGGAUGAGUGUGUGUGUGUUUAUGUGAGUGUGUCUUUGUGUGUGUUUAUUUGAGUGUGUGUGUCUUUGUGUGAGUGUGUGUCUUUGUGUGUGUUUAUGUGAGAAUGUAUGUCUCUUUUUGUGUGUUUAUGUGAGUGUGUCUGUGUGUGUUUAUUUGAGUGUGUAAGUUUGUGUGUGUAUGUGUCUUGGUGUGUUUAUGUGAGUGUGUGUUUGUGUGUAUGUGUCUUUGUGUGUUUAUGUGAGUGUCUUUGUGUUUGUGUGUGUGUGAGAGUGUGUUUUUGUGUGUGUGAGAGAGAGAGUGUGUGUGUGUGUUUGUGUGUGUGUUUAUGUGAGUGUGUGUUUGUGUGUGUGUAAGAGUGAGAGAGUGUGUGUGUGAGUGAGUGUGAGUGUGUGUGUGUGUGUGUGUGUGUGUUUGUGAGAGUGAGAGAGUGUGUGUGUAUGUGUUGGUGUGUCAGUGGAGGGGGAACUCUUCAUUGCUGUAGUUUCUGUUUAUGCUGCUGAUGUAACUACUGGACACUUAUCUGCUCAUGGGGCGCUACUGAACACUUAUCUGCUGGUGUAACUUUACUGAACACUCUUAUCUGCUGAUGGAGCUCUACUGAACACUCUUAUCUGCUGAUGGAGCUCUACUGAACACUCUUAUCUGCUGAUGGAGCUCUACUGAACACUCGUAUCUGCUGAUGGAGCUCUACUGAACACUCUUAUCUGCUGAUGUAACUCUACUGAACACUCUUAUUUGCUCUCUCCCUCCCUCUCUCUCUCUCUCUCUCUCUCUCUUCUUCUCCUCUCAGUGUAGCGCCCUUGUUCAGCCCUGUCUGGCGUGUUCUUUGGGUCCUGCCGCUCUGAGCCGGGUGCUGGGUGGGCUGGGGUAUGUGUUGUGCGGUUUCUAGCGCCAGUCCAGGGAUCCAGUAGGCUGGCCUUCCUCCUCCCGUUUCUCCUCUUCUGGACCCCACAGUCCUGUGACCUCUCCUGUCCCCGUGAAUGUAAGUGUGUUUGAAUGUGAGCGAGUGAGUGAGUGUGAGUGUGAGUGUGUAUCGGUGUGAUUGUGUGUGAGUGUGUGUGUGAGCGUGUGUGUGUGUCAUGUGCAGUUAUAUGUAUGUGUGUCUCAUCUCCCUCUAAAUGUAUCAUUGUGUAUCCAUAGAUGUGCUGUAUUUUGACUGGGUUGUUACGUUCCUUGAUCUUGAGUCUUUGCUACUCUCUCACCGGUGCAAGACGUGAAUAAAUGGGUUUGUUCUGGAAAAUGUAGACGGUACAGAACUGUCACCCUUAAAAUGUCCAAACUCUCCCUUUCCAGUGUGUAAUGUGAGUUUGCUGUUGUGGUUUGAGUCCUAGGGCCUGUGUGGCUGCACAGAGUGAGUCCUAGGGCCUGUGUGUGGCUGCACAGAGUGAGUCCUAGGGCCUGUGUGUGGCUGCACAGUGAGUCCUAGGGCCUGUGUGUGGCUGCACAG